rnacentral:rRNA from 1 species
GACGAACGCUGGCGGCGUGCUUAACACAUGCAAGUCGAACGAAGAGCGAUGGAAGCUUGCUUCUAUCAAUCUUAGUGGCGAACGGGUGAGUAACGCGUAAUCAACCUGCCCUUCAGAGGGGGACAACAGUUGGAAACGACUGCUAAUACCGCAUACGAUCUAAUCUCGGCAUCGAGGAUAGAUGAAAGGUGGCCUCUACAUGUAAGCUAUCACUGAAGGAGGGGAUUGCGUCUGAUUAGCUAGUUGGAGGGGUAACGGCCCACCAAGGCGAUGAUCAGUAGCCGGUCUGAGAGGAUGAACGGCCACAUUGGGACUGAGACACGGCUCAGACUCCUACGGGAGGCAGCAGUGGGGAAUCUUCCGCAAUGGACGAAAGUCUGACGGAGCAACGCCGCGUGAGCGAUGACGGCCUUCGGGUUGUAAAGCUCUGUUAAUCGGGACGAAAGGCCUUCUUGCGAAUAGGGAGAAGGAUUGACGGUACCGGAAUAGAAAGCCACGGCUAACUACGUG